UCCCUGAUGGUCCAGUGGCUAAGACUCCGCAUUCCCAAUGUAGGGGAGCCCGGGUUCAAUCCCUGGUCAGGGAG
rnacentral:tRNA from 1 species